rnacentral:rRNA from 1 species
UACGGAAGGCAGCAGUGGGGAAUAUUGCACAAUGGGCGCAAGCCUGAUGCAGCCAUGCCGCGUGUAUGAAAAAGGCCUUCGGGUUGUAAAGUACUUUCAGUCGUGAGGAAGGUGUUAAGGUUAAUAACCUUAGCAAUUGACGUUAGCGACAGAAGAAGCACCGGCUAACUCCGUGCCAGCAGCCGCGGUAAUACGGAGGGUGCGAGCGUUAAUCGGAAUUACUGGGCGUAAAGGGCACGCAGGCGGUUAAUUAAGUUGGAUGUGAAAUCCCCGGGCUUAACCUGGGAAUGGCAUUCAAGACUGGUUAGCUAGAGUCUUGUAGAGGGGGUAGAAUUCCAUGUGUAGCGGUGAAAUGCGUAGAGAUGUGGAGGAAUACCGGUGGCGAAGCGGCCCCUGGACAAAGGCUGACGCUCAUGUGCGAAAGCGUGGGGAGCAAACAGGGAUUAGAUACC